UACGUAGGGUGCGAGCGUUGUCCGGAAUUAUUGGGCGUAAAGGGCUCGUAGGCGGUCUGUUGCGUCAGGAGUGAAAACCCGGGGCUCAACCCCGGGCCUGCAGCCGAUACGGGCAGACUAGAGUUCGGCAGGGGAGACUGGAAUUCCUGGUGUAGCGGUGAAAUGCGCAGAUAUCAGGAGGAACACCGGUGGCGAAGGCGGGUCUCUGGGCCGAUACUGACGCUGAGGAGCGAAAGCGUGGGGAGCGAACAGG
rnacentral:rRNA from 1 species